AUUGAACGCUGGCGGCAGGCCUAACACAUGCAAGUCGAGCGGAUGAAGGGAGCUUGCUCCUGGAUUCAGCGGCGGACGGGUGAGUAAUGCCUAGGAAUCUGCCUGGUAGUGGGGGAUAACGUCCGGAAACGGGCGCUAAUACCGCAUACGUCCUGAGGGAGAAAGUGGGGGAUCUUCGGACCUCACGCUAUCAGAUGAGCCUAGGUCGGAUUAGCUAGUUGGUGGGGUAAAGGCUUACCAAGGCAACGAUCCGUAACGGGUCUGAGGGGAGGAUCAGUCAAACGGGAACUGGACACGGUUCCAAUGCCCUACGGAGGAGACCCGUGGGGAAUGUAGAAGAGGGGACGAAGGCCUAAUCCGCCAAGGCCGGUUGUAGAAAGAGGUCUUCGGAUUGUAAAGCACUUUAAGUUGGGAGGAAGGGCAGUAAGUUAAUACCUUGCUGUUUUGACGGUACCAACAGAAUAAGCACCGGCUAACUUCGUG
rnacentral:rRNA from 1 species